rnacentral:rRNA from 1 species
UACGUAGGUGACAAGCGUUAUCCGGAAUUACUGGGCGUAAAGCGCACGCAAGCGGUAUAUCAAGUUCGACGUGAAAUCUUCUGGCUUAACCAGGAGCGGUCGUUGAAAACUGAUAGACUAGAGGCGAUGAGAGGGGUGCAGAAUUCCAGGUGUAGUGGUGGAAUGCGUAGAUAUCUGGAGGAAUACCAGUGGCGAAAGCGGCGCCCUGGCAUCGGCCUGACGCACAUGUGCGAAAGCGUGGGGAGCGAACGGG